UGGACAUAUUAUUGUAUUCGACUGUAUUCAUGACGUGAAACAGGGGAUUACACUGUUUUUAAACGGUAAGUGAAUCAAUUAACAUAAUAGACUCCU
rfam:Nicotiana attenuata strain TT scaffold03793, whole genome shotgun sequence.